rnacentral:snRNA from 1 species
AAACUUACCUGGCUGGGAUAGUUCCUCGGUCAAGAGGGAGGAACAUCCAUGGUGAGACUGGUCCAUUGCACUACAGGGCGAGUUGACCCGUGUGGCUGUCUCGAAUGGAGACACGCCAACAGCAAAAUUUUUGCGUGUGGGGACGGCGUACGCGCCUCCCCAA